UCUGUCAUUUAAAUUGAAAGAAAAUUAACAAAGUGAUUAUAUAUAUUAAAAAAAAAAAAUCGGGACUUCCCUGGUGGUCUGGUGGUUAAGACUCCAUGUUUCCACUGUAGGGGGCGUGGGUUUGAUCCCUGGUCGGGGAACUAAGAUCCUUCAAGCCACAAGGAGCGCCAGAAAAAAAAGAAGCAGCAGAUUAGAGACUAUAAACUCCCCCAGGCCCAUCUGACCGCAAGAGAUAAGGCAGAAAUGAAACUGAAAAAUAGUGCUGAAGUGCCGAUGUGAAACUCUGGGCAGAAAGGGGAACCCUUCCUGAAUGUGGCAAAGCUCAGCUCUCUUUCCUGGGGAGGCCAUUGUUAUGUCAUCAGCCCCCAGCCUGGCCCCCGGCACACCUGGUCAGUUACCUGGGGAAGGACAGAGAGGCGGGCGGAGUAAUCAGCUCAGAAUGCGGAGACCUGGGUUGCCUGGGUUGCAACCUGGGUUGCCUGGGUUUCUACCCAGGCUCUGCCCCUUCCUCAAAGCUGUGACCUUGAGAAGGCAAGCUGUGGAGAGAGCUGCUGAUCCAUGCUUAAAGGGAGAACAUCUCCUCUCCCCCUCCCCAAGGCCACGGCAGCCCCUGUGUCCCUCCCAGCCAGGCAGGAAGGAGGAAAGGGGUGAGCAUCUGGAGAGAGCAACAGUUUCCUUUUUGUGCAUUUUACAGGGUCAGCAAUUCAUGUCCUGGCCUGGGGACAGUGGUGGGGCGGUGCUGAGGAGGGGAAGCUGCAGGGGAACAGGAGAUGAAGUCAGAGAGCUCUGACUCCUGCCUUGGGCAUCAGAGGACAGACAUCCCCGAGGCAGAGGACUAUCGGCAUUGAACCAGCAUCUCCCUCUAAGGUCCACUCUGCGAAAUGGAGUCAGUCCAAAGCUGGUGAUCUUCAAUUUAAUAGUAGAAAUAUCUUCAUCAUCCAGAAAUCACUGGAAGAACAACUCAAAUCAUCUAGAAUAUUGAAGAGAACGCAGAAAGGAAGCUGAAAAAUCCCACAGAAGGGCCACCUCAAGGUUGCCACACCCAAGAAUUCAAGUUCAUACCCUUGACCCACGAGAGUUUCUCAGGCGCCAUCACUCAUUUCAGACUCAUUUCCGAAAACAGGGGCUUUUUCUUCUCGUCUCUUCUGGCAGGUCUGAGGUGGUGAGACUUGGAAAGGGAGAAGGGGGCCGUUGUGAGGAUCAGACAUGGUGAACAGCACAACCUGACCGAGGCAGCCAGACUGGAAGGAGGGGAAAGGGAGCGUGAAGGGGUGAGAGGGGAAGACACACAGCCACCCAGGGCCGUUUACGGGGCGAGCGCCCUUGCGAGGGCUCUGGCUUCACAAAGGUGUUAAAUAUUAAGCAAGCUUGACUGGCUUGAAUUUAAAGCAGGUCUAAGAAGGGCUCCAGAGACGCAGCAUCUCAGAAAUGAGAGCUCACAGACUCAUAGCUGUUUCGAAACAGAGGAUCACAGGGGGCAAAGGCGGAGAACUUGAGAGCGUAUCAUCCAAGACUCACGGACUCGAACUCCUCUGUGGGAGCAGCCAGGUCACACGAGUGAAAGGAAAGGCAGGGCGUGGUCGUGGGCAGUGACGGGGCUGUCACAAGCCCCCUGACCACGGGCCGGGUCUCAGAAAGGCAGCUCUCCCGGGUCACCCCCGCGGUGGAGGAACCGGGCCCCUUUUUUCAACAGAAGGUCAAAAUCGAAUUUUAAGAUGCAAUGCACAAUUUUUAAACCUGGACAGCUCAUUUCAAUUUUCUAAACAGUGAGCAAAAGUGAAAGUCGCUCAGUUGUGUCCGGCUCUUUGUGACCCCAUGGACUGUAUAGUAUAAUUCUCCAGGCCAGAAUACUGGAGUGGGUAGCCUUUCCCUUCUCCAGGGCAUCUUCCCAACCCAGGUAUCAAACCCAGGUCUCCCGUAUUGCAGGCGGAUUCUUUACCAGCUGAGUCACAAGAGAAGCCCAAGAAUAGUGGGUAGCCUGUCCCUUCUCCAGCAGAUCUUCCUGACCCAGGGAUCGAACCUUCUGGGUCUCCCGCAUUUCCGGAGGAUUCUUCACCAGCUGAG
ensembl:lincRNA